rnacentral:rRNA from 1 species
UACAGAGGGGGCUAGCGUUGUCCGGAAUUAUUGGGCGAAAGAGCUCGUAGGUGGCUGGUCGCGUCUGCCGUGAAAGUCCGGGGCUCAACUCCGGAUCUGCGGUGGGUACGGGCAGACUAGAGUGAUGUAGGGGAGACUGGAAUUCCUGGUGUAGCGGUGAAAUGCGCAGAUAUCAGGAGGAACACCGAUGGCGAAGGCAGGUCUCUGGGCAUUAACUGACGCUGAGGAGCGAAAGCAUGGGGAGCGAACAGG